rnacentral:rRNA from 1 species
AAGGCUAAAUACUCCUGACUGACCGAUAGUGAACCAGUACCGUGAGGGAAAGGCGAAAAGAACCCCGGCGAGGGGAGUGAAAAAGAACCUGAAACCGUGUACGUACAAGCAGUGGGAGCCCCACCACUAAGCCAGUGGUGAACUCCACAUCCGCAUCCUUUGCUGAGGAUACGGUUAACGGAGCGAAAGCGACGUUCAACCGCAAAACAAGCAGAGGGGCUUAGUGGUGGGGUGACUGCGUACCUUUUGUAUAAUGGGUCAGCGACUUAUAUUCUGUAGCAAGGUUAACCGAAUAGGGGAGCCGGAGGGAAACCGAGUCUUAAUUGGGCGUUAAGUUGCAGGGUAUAGACCC